GCCGACCGCUGGCGGCGUGCUUAACACAUGCACGUCGCACGGAAAGGCCCUGCUUUUGUGGGGUGCUCGAGUGGGGAACGGGUGGGUGACACGUGAGUAACCUGCCCUCGACUCUGGGAUAACUUCCGGGCACUGGGGCUAAUACGGGCUGGGAGCUCCUGCUGAGUGGUGGGGGCUGGAAAGUUUCGGCGGUUGGGGAUGGACUCGCGUCUUGUCAGCUUGUUGGUGGGGUAGUGGCUUACCAAGGCUUUGACGGGUAGCCGGCCUGAGAGGGUGACCGGCCACAUUGGGACGGAGAUACGGCCCGGACUCCUACGGGAGGCAGCAGUGGGGAAUGUUGCACAAUGGGCGGAAGCCUGAUGCAGCAACGCCGCGUGCGGGAUGACGGCCUUCGGGUUGUAAACCGCUUGCGCCUGUGACGAAGCGUGAGUGACGGUAAUGGGUAAAGAAGCACCGGCUAACUACGGG
rnacentral:rRNA from 1 species